rnacentral:rRNA from 1 species
CAAUAGCGUAUAUUAAAGUUGUUGCGGUUAAAAAGCUCGUAGUUGGAGUUCUGCCAGGUGCCGCCUGUCCGCCCCAGUGGUGAGUACGUGGCGCGCAUUUGGCCCUUUCAAGGGGAGCGUAUCUGCACUUUAUUGUGUGGUGCGGGAUCCUUGACUUUUACUUUGAGGAAAUAGGAGUGUUCCAAGCAGGCUCUCGUCGUGCACAGCUCAGCAUGGAAUAAUAGCAUUGGACCUCGAUUCUAAGCUGUUGGUUGCCAGAAGCGAGGUAAUGAUGAAGAGGGAUAGUUGGGGGCAUUCGUAUUUAACUGUCAGAGGUGAAAUUCUUGGAUUUUUUAAAGACGAACAAUUGCGAAGGCAUCUACCCAGGAUGUUUUUGUUGA